GGUCUACACUGGGGGCGGGGAAGAGGGGCGAGAUAAGUUGGUCUAAGUUACGCAAUUUCAGUACGAAAAUAGCGUAGCUGAAGUCGACAUACUUAGAACUACUUACCUCAGUGUCUUCACUGCAGUAGGUUGACUGCUGCCACUCCCCCGGUGGAGUACCGGAGUCGUUGGGAGAUGGGGACCCCCGCUGGAUUGCUUGCUCCAGAGGAAUAAGAGCAACAACAGACUGUCGACUGAAAAUGAGGAUAAGUGAAGGUUUUGGUUUUCAAAGUGCCAUGGAAGCAGAGUGCUGGCUUUCAGUCAGAUCUGCUUGAUGCUUCAUGCAGGGGAAGCUUAAGUCCCAAGACUGAGAUCUCUAGAGUCCCAUCUAGAUCACCCCGAAUAUGGACAUAGAACUAUAGCCUUGGACUAAUUCUGAAAGAACUCUGCA